CUUAGGAAGAGUUCAGAAAUCAAUAUUUGGUGGAAUAACCCUGAUUUUGAAUCACAGCUUUCAUGCGUCUUGGCAUGCUCUCCACCAGUCUUUCACAUUGAUGUUGGGUGACUUUAUGCCACUCCUGGUGCAAAAAUUCACGCAGCUCAGAUUUGUUUGAUGGCUUGUGACCAUCCAUCUUCCUCUUGAUCACAUUCCAGAGGUUUUCAAUGGGGUUCAGGUCUGGAGAUUGGGCUGGCCAUGACAGGGUCUUGAUCUGGUGGUCCUCCAUCCACACCUUGAUUGACCUGGCUGUGUGGCAUGGAGCAUUGUCCUGCUGGAAAAAACAGCCCUCAGAGUUGGGGAACAUUGUCAGAGCAGAAGGAAGCAAGUUUUCUUCCAGGACAACCUUGUACGUGGUUUGAUUCAUGCGUCCUUCACAAAGACAAAUCUGCCCAAUUCCAGCCUUGCUGAAGCACCCCCAGAUCAUCACCGAUCCUCCACCAAAUUCACAGUGGGUGCCAGACACUGUGGCUUGUAGGCCUCUCCAGGCCUCCGUCUAACCAUUAGACGACCGGGUGUUGGACAAAGCUGAAAAUUGGACUCAUCAGAGAAGAUGACCUUACUCCAGUCCUCUACAGUCCAAUCCUUAUGGUCUCUUGCAAACCUCAGCCUAGCUCUUCUUUGCUUCUCAUUGAUGAAGGGCUUUUUUCUAGCAUUGCACGACUUCAGCCCUGCCCCUAGGAGCCUGUUUCAAACCGUCCUCGCCGUGCACUUCACCCCAGCUGCCUUUUGCCAUUUUUUUGUAGGUCACUUGAUGUCAUCCUACGGUUGUUGAGGGACAUUUGAAUGAGUUGGCUGUCAUUCCGGUCAGUGGAGAGUCGUUUUCGCCCUGUAGCUUUGUUGUCCCCAAUGUCUGCUGCUUGACCUUGUUCUUAUGAACCGCCGUCUUUGAAAUUUUAAGGAUGGAAGCAACCCGACGCUCACUGUAUCCCUCUGCCAGUAAAGCCAGAAUUGAACCCUUCUUUUCCUCACUCAAAACUUUCCUUUUUAACUUUUUUGGCAUGGUCAAUAGUUAUUUUUUGAUUCCAAUUACUUUUGAGGUACUACUAGCACUGUUUUUGCCAUCCAGCUGGCCCCACUGCAAGAGGAUAGUGAUGACCACAGAAGUGUUUUUUUAUACUUUUCCUUAUUAAAUAAGAUUUGGUUCAGGUGAUCACCUAAUCAGCACCUCAUUCAGUAGAAUGAGGUGUGCCUGUGUUGGAAUUCAACAGACAUUGGAAUGGAAUGGCUUCCAUACUUGUAGAGAUGCUGAUUUAAGAAAAAAUUGCAGUGGUCUCUUAAUUUUUUCCAGAGCUGUAUGUGCAUCUGCUUGUGUUGUUAUUGUUACCAUAGAGCAUCCAGCUUGUGGCGCUCUUCACCAAAGUCUGUUAAAUAGACCAUUGAGCACGUGCUGCCUUCAGGGCGGUAGAAUAUUUCAAUUCCUUGUCUUCCUUCCCUGUCUGUUGCUGAAAAUCUCCAAGAUAGUCUGAAUUUUCUAUCCACGUGUUCCAAUCAAUCAACAUAUUUUGACAACUGGUCAGAUUUUUAUUUUAUUUUUUUAAAUUAAGACAUGUUAUUUGCACAUAAAGCUGAUUUGAUGAAAUAAGCCUUUCCCCCUUUUUUCAAAACUCUUAAGUCUGCAUCAGAUUUCUGAAUUAUUUUGAUGAGUCUGAACUGUGUUUUGUGUGAUACAUUACAGCCUUAAAUACAAUAGGUAAGUGUUUUUAAGUUCUGCAUCAGCGCAGGCCAGGGUGAAAUGACCUGAGCAAAGAGAAGAUCCUCAGCACAGACAGGUUGAGUAUCCACGCUGUUAUUCAGUUGUCUAUCAAAAGCACCUUAAUAUGCACCAAAAUCACAUUUAGCUACAAUAAGCAAACUGUGGAGUGGGAGUGUCCGAGGCGCUCCUGAAGGCAACAGUAGACACGCCACCACGCCUCUCUCGGGCUCAGAGACAUCCAUGGCUCAGAGACACACAACAAAAGACACCAAACCCGGCUUUUCUUCUGCACAGCUUUGACAGAGACGGUGAAUGUUGACUCCGGUUACAGCUGCCCCGGAAAUAUUUUAAGUCUUAAUUCAAGACACCUCUGUGCCGUGUAUUUGUCUGCGGCUGACAGCACGUGUUCCUGCUUCUUGUCCAGCUCCAACUGACCACAGAACAGCACCACCAAUCAACCAAUCAGCAUAUUGUUGCUGGUCAAAUAGUUCAACAGGCUUUAUAACACUACAAGAAAGCAGGACCAAAACUGUCAUCCUUAUUGUUGAUCUGCCCCACAGUUAUUGAGAUUAUUUGACCAUCCUUGGAUACACCAACCACUUCAAUUACUCUCAGUUUUUUUCCUCCACAAUGGAUUAAAUAAGCAAGAUGGGAGACAGAUUGGAUCAUUGUUCAUCAGGGAAAUUAUGCAUUCUGUAAUGUGCCCAAUGAGGGGAUGAAUCCAUUAAAAUGAACAAAGAUAAA